rnacentral:misc_RNA from 1 species
GUGUUUUUGUUCUGUAGGUGCGUUUGCUGGCCUAGGGUGUGAACAUCGCUGAAAACAACGUGCAAGACCGGCAGCAGAGCAAAAGGGGAUGAGUGUGACAACAGAGCUGGCUGGCCUGGUACGACGUCUGCCACCACGAGCAUACGAGCGAGUGCUCCUUCUCCUGCACUGCCUGGCCACCAGCAGCGAAGGCAGCCAGGGCGGCAGUAACCCACAGACGUUAUCUUUGCAGGUCAUCUGUGACGUUGUGCUAUGUGCGUGCCCGGGGCCGGUGCCUCGAUUUCUGUUUGCGCUGUCCUGCAACGACAAGCUGCUCCGAAGCGCUGACUGCGGACUCACCUGGCGGUUGUGUUUCGCCAGGUCUAGCGAACCUCUUAAAGCUGACACGGCUGGUGUUCAGGACCUCCUUGACGAUGUGACGAGCCUGCUCAAAUCCACGGAGGCCACCGAUGAUGUCGCUGGCGGCGAGGAAGCCUCGUCUGUUGUGUGUUGUGCAGAUGGCUACGGAGACGUGGUCGCUCUCUGCGGCCGCAAUGGUUUUCUCGCGGUCUCGGGUGACAAAGGUGUGACCUUCACGACCGCGACAAAUUAUUUGAUGGGCGACUUUGGUGAGAAGGCGCAUCUCCGGCACAUUUGCGUCCUGGACACCGACCGUAUUCUAGUGAGUGACGACCUACGAGUGGUUUGUGUGGCUGUGGAGUGCACUGGCUGUGGACCGCUUGCACUGGGAAAGACACACGUAGCAUUAGUGUGUUCCACACAAAUCUGCAUGCUGCGCGCGUGCUCCUUCGGUGGCGGCGCGCGCGGCGCCGUGGUUGCCGAAAACAGAAAGCUGCAUCUGUCGUUUGAUGGCUCUGCCUCGUUUAUGGAGGUUCGUCACAGUCUAGGGCGUAUUCGUGGCUUCAACACCGCGUCUGCGUUGCGCCACUGCGAGCUUCCAGACUUUCCACAUGCAACCUUGGCGUCUUCGAUGGGGCUGCAAAGCACUGAGGCCAGCCCCUCUCCUCCUCGGUCUGCCUCUGUGUAUGAUUAUGUCAGCGGAUGUAAAUGCGAUGCCGCGGUCGGCAAGGGAGACUCAACAGCAGCGGUGACGCAGUUUGAAGCUGGCGCGCUGCGGCACGGCGCUGAUGUCUUCUACCGUUUUUUCUUCGUGGCCGGAUGCGGCACUGAGGUGCUUCCCUACGACUACACCGCCCUGCUGUGUGUGUGCACGCGGCGGGAGGGCAACCACGUUGUUGUUAUGUCUACUGCAUCUUACGUCUCCUACAUACCCUUCUCUCAAUCCCGAAGCCACGAUCGGCUUCUCUGUACUGUCACUCGAAGCUCUGGAGAUGGUGGCAGCUACCUCGCCAGCCGAGGGAGUGUCGUGGGUACGAGCGUCUCUCGUGAUUUGGAUCGCUGGAGUACCCCGCACGGCGCGGCUCCAGUUGGGUUGCUCGCGGUGGGAGGUGGCGACAUUCUCGCGUGCGGGCGUAACAAGGUAGUGUCGCGAGUCGAAGGAGACGCCGAGGCGCACACAAUUCUCCAUGAUAUGCGCGUUCCUGUGCUGAGUACUGCCUUUUCGAUGUAAGCAACGCUGCCAUCUUCAGAGGCGAUAGAGACACACAAGGGAAAAAGUGGAGAAGGAGAUUGCAGAAUGUUUAGUUUUUUGCGCCUGAAUAGUGGAAGCGGAGAGAGUGGGAAGGGCAGCGAGAUGACACACCGUAGCUCAGCACCCUCAUGUCCUCCAGCUCCCCCUCCCCUUGCCCUCCC